rnacentral:rRNA from 1 species
UACAGAGGGUGCGAGCGUUAAUCGGAAUUACUGGGCGUAAAGCGUGCGUAGACGGUUAUUUAAGUCGGAUGUGAAAGCCCCGGGCUCAACCUGGGAAUUGCAUUCGAGACUGAAUAGCUAGGGUACGGUAGAGGGAAGCGGAAUUUCCGGUGUAGCGGUGAAAUGCGUAGAUAUCGGAAGGAACAUCAGUGGCGAAAGCGGCUUCCUGGACCAGUACCGACGUUCAGGCACGAAAGCGUCGGGGACGCAAAGCAGGA